rnacentral:rRNA from 1 species
GACGAACCGUGCGAACGUUAUUCGGAAUCACUGGGCUUAAAGCGCGUGUAGGCGGGUCGGAACGUCGGCCGCUGAAAUCCCCCGGCUCAACCGGGGAAGGGGCGCCGAUACGACCGACCUGGAGCGACGUAGGGGGGACUGGAACUUCCAGUGGAGCGGUGAAAUGUGUUGAUAUUGGAAGGAACGCCGGUGGCGAAAGCGACACACUGGACCUUGUCUGACGCUGAGGCACGAAAGCCAGGGGAGCAAACGGG